AUGGGAGGCCAUUGAGCCCUGGAUCUUGACCACAGCAGGGCAAUUGGUAGCUGCCCCUCUGGGAGAGAUCCCCAGGGGUAACAGCCAUGGACCCUGGAAGGGCCUGGACUAGGGACAGGGACCAGAGCCAUUCCAAGGAGAGGACAUGGCCAACGGACUGGGGUGCACUUUAACAGCCCCGCUGGAGAGAGAGACCAGGGUGCCACCCUCCAGGGAGCCCAUACUGCAAGUCAGGCCAGAGGUGCCUCUAACCCUGAGGGCCAAUGAAACCUAAGACAAGCAAGUGAGUCGUGAGACCCCCAAGGAGCUGGGCCCUGGUCCCAGGCAGCGCUGGCCCCUGCUGCAGCUGGGUCUGGCCACGGUCGCCUAUGGCCUACCGAGCCCAACAGCUACACUGCAGAGCCGGGUCCCAGACCCUGCAGCCUCAGUUGGAAGCAGCCGGUCCAGCCUGUGGAGGCUGUGGGGCAGACUGACCAUCAUCAAGAUCCAUCCACAAACCAACCAGAAACUAACUUUACCUGGGCCUGAUUUAGCGGUCCACACCCUUCCUGCUUGACCUCCAGCCCCAUGCUAGGGUUCACCUGGAGCCUAAUCCCGAACCCCCAUUAGAGCUGUGAAAAAGGAAGCUGGGGCCACUGCCCCUGGUGGCAUCUGCUCAUUAGGGAGUCCACACAGCCCCCACACUCAACCCACAGAGAGAAGAGGACCGGUGACAUCCUGUGACCCAUAGCAGGAUCCCUGGGAGUCCAGGCUUCCGGAGGACAUUGGGAUCUUGGAUUUGUUUUUUGCACCAUCAUGCAGGCACAGGGUUGAAUUUACUGGAGGGCAUCAGUGCCACUAAGGAGUGAAAUUCCACAGAUGAUUGGGAUAGGUGGUUUCUUCUCUGCAAAAUUGAACCAACCAUUCAACUUUUGGUAACACCAUGGGGUGAUGCAGAGGGUGCCCCUCUCCUACCAGGCAGAGGCUGAGGCUGGUGGCCCUAGAGUGCAGUGUUCUAGGAACCUUGGGGAUAUCAGCCCUACCUUCUGGAGUAGUUCUAUCUGGGAUGGGCCUGGUCAAUGAGGCCUGGCUGGUCCCGAUACGAAAUGCCAGGCACAUCUGCGAGGGUAACCUUGGGAGCAUCCCCUGCACCCCUGAAUUUGGUCUCAUGUUGGUUGGGACAGCUGGGGUGGUGGCUGUCAUUGUCUUUUUCAGAUGGGGGACAUGAGGGAGCCUCCGGAGUAUGGUCUCCAAAUACUACGUCUCACUAAGGGAAGGGAGAUCAGUGGGGAAUUCCACGCCUGGGGCAGGAAAGACACAUAAGACAAAAAAGAAAAAGACAUCAUAAGACAGAUCUCUUAUCCUCUGACUAAUCAGGAGCCAUUUAAUUCCCUGGAGCCAUGCGAGGAAAUCUGAUGCCCCUUUAGGAGAUUCCCAUUGGGAAAAUAUUCAUCACUGGUGACCACCUGUCAUCACCAAUUAAAUACAAUGACAGUGGCUUCAAAAACAUUAGAUGGCUUGAAUCCUAGAGUUCAGAGUGAGAAUACACUUGAAUUAUUCACCCUGGAUUGAUGGCUGGGCCCUGGAUCAUCUGUGUGCAAAGCGGCUCCUUCCUAAAGCAUGAAGCACACUCCUGGGUGAAUGGAGCCCAGCUGCAGGGUUCUGACUUUACAGACACACUGCAGCGCUCAUGAGAAGGAGGCGAACUGAAGCCUCAACCCUCGGCCUUCCUUGCAGCUAUUGUCCAUCGUAUGCAGCUAACAUUACUACAAGAGUGGCAAUCUGUCAUGUGUGGCUUUGCUGAAAGUAGCCCCAGGUCCUUGGAAGCUAUUCUGCAAUGUUCAAUCUGAAUCCGGUUAGUCCCCUCCAUGCUAGAAUCGUUUUCCAGGAAAAUAAAAGCCAAGGGAAGCCCUAGGUUCCUGCUCCAGGAGGCGUGGCCGUAUUCCAACCGGGGGAAGGUGCCCAGCCAGCUCUCCGCUCCUGCAGCUCCUUCUGCCUUGCCAGGAAGCACUAGAGCAAUUUAGGAGAUAUUCACCAGUGACAACCAGCCUAACGGCACAUGUACCACCCUGCUGGGUACAAGGCCAAAGACCACCACACCCUUCAAACAGAGCAACAACAAGUACACAGCCAGCAGCUACCUGAGCCUGACGCCGCAGCAGUGGAGGUCCCGCAGCAGCUACAGCUGCCACGUCACGCACGAAGGGAAAACCGUGGAGAAGACAGUGGCCACUGAAGGAUGUUCUUAGGCCCCAACCCUCACCCCACCCACGGGGCCUGGAGCUGCACGUUCCCAGGGGAGAGGUGUCUCCCCCCAAUCCCCAGACAUCCAGCCCUUCUCCCUGCACCCAAUAAGCCCUCAAUAAAUAUUCUGAUUGUCAACCAGA